CUACGUGCCAGCAGCCGCGGUAAUACGUAUGUCACAAGCGUUAUCCGGAUUUAUUGGGCGUAAAGCGCGUCUAGGUGGUUAUGUAAGUCUGAUGUGAAAAUGCAGGGCUCAACUCUGUAUUGCGUUGGAAACUGCGUAACUAGAGUACUGGAGAGGUAAGCGGAACUACAAGUGUAGAGGUGAAAUUCGUAGAUAUUUGUAGGAAUGCCGAUGGGGAAGCCAGCUUACUGGACAGAUACUGACGCUGAAGCGCGAAAGCGUGGGUAGCAAACAGGAUUAGAUACCCUGGUAGUCCACGCCGUAAACGAUGAUUACUAGGUGUUGGGGGUCGAACCUCAGCGCCCAAGCAAACGCGAUAAGUAAUCCGCCUGGGGAGUACGUACGCAAGUAUGAAACUCAAAGGAAUUGACGGGGACCCGCACAAGCGGUGGAGCAUGUGGUUUAAUUCGACGCAACGCGAGGAACCUUACCAGCGUUUGACAUC
rnacentral:rRNA from 1 species